UUCAAAUUGAAACUCACAGGAAUACGGAGAAGCUCAUUUUGAGACUAAUAGUUAAAAAAAAUCCGAUUGUUAUCGGAAAUUGACGGGAAAGUAAACGUAAUUCCACUAUUAAUGGCGCCUCCUCAAGAUGGCAAAGCAGCUGAAGUCAAAGAGGAAUCUGUACCUCAACGCCCAAUCUCCGAUGUCGUUUUCAUUAUUGGUACUCCAUUUUUCUAUAUAUAUUUUGAGAUUUUUUUGUGUUUGUUAGUAUGUAUUUAUAUGCUAACUUCUUUGUGUGUGUGUGUGAAUGGUGAAUAGCUAUGAAGAAGGAGGCUUCACCUCUAGUGGAGAAGUUCCAGCUCACCGAAGAAUCCAAUUCUCUGUGGGCCUUCUUUUUUUAUUUAAGCUUUAUAAGUAAUUUAGUUCAGUUGAGAUCCGACCAAAAAAAAAAAAAAACUGAGAAAAAUGAGGAUUGGGAAAAAGUAAAGGAGACUGACUGUCUCGUACAAUUUGUACUGGUGAUCUUUGGAAAGUUUAAGCCUACUGUAGUGAUAAGUGGAAUUUAAUAACGACUCGUUUAUUUAUGCUCAGUCAUUGUUGGAUUUAAAAUAAAUUAAUUGGAAAAGAAUGUGUUUUGUUAUAUUGUUGCCAUUCUACAAGUGGCCGUUACCCUUUUAUGAUUUGUUUUAUCUAUUAUCAUUUUGUGAAAAUGAUGCAGGUUUCCAAAGGGGGUCCCGUGGGUGAGGUACAGUGGAAAAUAUAAAGAUCUGAAUAUCAACAUUGUUUCCCCUGGAAAAGACAUAGUUUUGGGUCUCUCUCUCUCUUUCCUCCUUAAUUCUUGAUGGCAUGUUAUGGAUUUUGAUUUUGUUACGUGAAUUGUUUUCAGUCUCUGGUAUAUGUGUUCACUAUUAAGCCUAAUCUGCUUAUUUCUAGAUAUUUUGUCAUUUUGGCCCUAUUGUGAUGAUAAGAUUCUUUGAAAAGAUUUGAACAUAUUUUCUCCGAAACUAAAUAAAAUUAAGUACCAUGUAGUUAAGAGCGAUCAAUAAACCUUAUCCUUGGGCCAUUCAAUAUUUUUUCAUCCAGGGGUGGCGGUGGGUAGGGGGAUUGGUAUCGGAGGAAUCACUAUGAAAGUGGUUGAUCAUUCUUGAGUAUAUGUUAUUUUUAGUAGAGGAAGAAGGUAUGCAGUCACAUUAAGUUCUGUAACUGGAUUAUGAAUAUUGUGAUGCAUUAUGCAGUUUAAGGAGCUUUGUUGUUAUUUGUUGCCAUUGUUGGUUAGUCACCACAGUGAAUUUCCGACCGCUGUGUUCUUAAUUGUUUCUUUAUCAGGUGUUGACAGCGUAGGCACAGUUUCUGCAUCACUUAUAACUUAUGCUUCUAUUCAAGCAUUGCAACCAGACCUUAUCAUAAAUGCAGGCACUGCUGGAGGUUUCAAGGUAUUAUGAAUGCGGAUAUGAUGGCUUUCAUUUUUUUAUUUUUAUUUUUUAGAUGUGUUGAUCUUCUGAACCUUAUCAUAAUUGUUUAUAUUUCCAUCCUCCUUUUUCCAUGUGGCAUUUAUCGAUUCUGCUGCUGAUAGUUUUUUUCAUAUAUGUAAAAUUUGCCCUGGUUCCUUCCUUUCUUAUUCUUUUAACCAAUUUCUUUAGAUAUUUUCUUUUUCUUUUUCUUUUUCUUUUUCUAUUUUUACUUGUACUUUCUAUUUCCCUCUGUUGUUUGUUGUCUGACUGAUUCUGUAUUUAUAUGGACACCAAAAUGUUAAAACUUCUUUCCUAAAAAGUCAAUGUCACGUUUUCAGUAAAGAAUUUGAUUUAUUUCUUUGUGUUAUGACAUUUUACGCACAUUUUAGGUUCUGGCUUCCUUCGACUUGUACUAGAUGGAAUCUAUUACCUUGCUGAUAUAGAAGUUACAGUCAUAUCUUAAAUAUAGGAUAACAAAGUCACACUUACUACAGAGAGUGUUUAAUCACUCUUUUGUUGCAUAUCUUAUAUUGAUAUCUAGAUUUUACCAGGCAAAAGGUGCUUGCAUAGGUGAUGUAUACCUUGCAUCAGAUGUUGCUUUCCAUGACCGAAGAAUUCCUAUCCCUGUAAGUUUUUCCGUCUUUAUUUUUCCUCAUUUAUUUUUUCCUGGUGCAUGGCUGGGGCAGAUACAAUUAGACAUCAUCAAAUGAAAGCAACACCAAAUUUAUUGGGAACAGAAAACAAGGCUCAAUUUUUUGUUACAUAUACACAUCGUAGGGGAAAAAUAUACUUUAUUGUGUUCUCAAUUUGUUGUUUAUAGGAGCCCAGUAGUAAUGAAAACUGAAGAAGGGUUCCAUUCUUUUAAGGUUGUGGCAUGCACUAAUUUGCUGGUAGAGAAUUGAUUUCUAGAUCACUUUACUAGGUUGGCUUAUGAAGUGAUAUACAUAUUAGACUACUUGAAUUCUAAUAUUUGGUAAAGUUUCUUCUGUUACUGUGAGAAAGUUGUUUUAUGUUUUGUCAGGCUGUCUUUCAAUUUAACUUCUAUGUUACUUUUUUUUUGUCCAUGUUUUAUUGGAAACAAUUGAAGCUUCCAAAUAUAAUAUAUUGUUUAUAUUAAGAAAAUAUAUGUAGAAAUUUAGUGGCAAUUACGCCAUGAGUCUAUUGCAUUACUAAUGGUAAGAAUUCGAACAUCUCAAAUUUGGGAAGUCACGGCGAUAGAGCAAGUCAUUGAAUGUCCUAGCUAAUCCUUUACAUUGGAUACCUCGUAGUAUUGCUGGUGUCCAAAAGACCUUUGCUAGAAUGGAUCAGUUUGCUGGAGUUUAUCCAGUUGUUUUAUGCUCGUUAUGUACUAGUACUUGUGCAUCUUGAUCUGUUCUUCGCAGUUUAACUUCAUUGUUAUCCAGUUACCUCCACUUUACCGGUUAGGGUUGGGCAAAACUUUCGAACCGAACUGUACCCGAACCGAGCGGUUCUUAUUAAAUUAAAUACCCAAACGGGUAACCGAAUCGAGAAUUGAGGGGUUCAAUUUGGUUCUCGAUUCUAGAUCAAUAAUUGAAUAACCGAAUAAGAACCGAAUUUUCCUAAUUUUUUAAAUUUAUUUAUUUUAAAUAAGCCAAAUUAUUUUAUUUUUUCUAAAUAAAUUUGCUAACUAGUUUUUUUAGCUCAACCCAAAAAUAUGAUUUUCCUAUCUCUAAUUUUCAGUCCAAGUCCAACUUACAAGUCCAACUUAAAUUAAAUUGACCCAAUUUUUAUCCAAAUAUGUUAUUUUACUAUAAUGUCGUUUCUACCAUUCUGGAGAUAUUGAAUUGAAACUCGAUAACGUCUCUCUUAAUUAUUAUGAGCUUGCUAUCUUCCUCUUCUUGUGAUUUUAACAAUCAAAAUUAUGAAGAGCUCAACAAAGAUAAACAUAAAAGAUAUACAAGAUUGGACUACGUUAUUUUGUAAGAGCUAAGAUUGAACAUGCUUUGUAAAUAUUAAAAAAAUUAAUUAUAGUACAGAACUUGAAAAUCGAACUGAACUGAAUGGAACCAAAUCCGAACGGUUCCAUAAUUAAAUUUGGACUCGACGGUUCUACUUACUAAAUACCCGAAAAUUUCGGGACCUAUUCGGUUCUCGUUAGAACAGAACCGAAUCGGACGAUGCCCAACCCUAUUAUCGGUUAUAUACAGGUCAUUUACUAUCUAUUUGAAGCAGUAGUCGUCUGCACCCAAAAAUGUUUAUCUAUGUCUACAACCAUAUAUCGAGUUCAUUUACUUUAAGAUUAAUGUGAAUCGUGCUAUUGUUUUGGAUAACAUCUUAACCUUAACGUGACUUCUUUCAAUCUGCAGGUAUUUGACCUGUAUGGUGUAGGCACACGACAAGCGUGCUCAACCCCCAAUCUUGCGAAGGAGCUA
rnacentral:lncRNA from 1 species